rnacentral:rRNA from 1 species
GAUGAACGCUAGCGACAGGCUUAACACAUGCAAGUCGAGGGGCAGCACAGAUAGCAAUACCGGGUGGCGACCGGCGCACGGGUGAGUAACGCGUAUGCAACUUACCUAUCAGAGGGGGAUAACCCGGCGAAAGUCGGACUAAUACCGCAUGAAGCAGGGGUCCCGCAUGGGGAUAUUUGCUAAAGAUUCAUCGCUGAUAGAUAGGCAUGCGUUCCAUUAGGCAGUUGGCGGGGUAACGGCCCACCAAACCGACGAUGGAUAGGGGUUCUGAGAGGAAGGUCCCCCACAUUGGUACUGAGACACGGACCAAACUCCUACGGGAGGCAGCAGUGAGGAAUAUUGGUCAAUGGGCGUAAGCCUGAACCAGCCAAGUCGCGUGAGGGAUGAAGGUUCUAUGGAUCGUAAACCUCUUUUAUAAGGGAAUAAAGUGCGGGACGUGUCCCGUUUUGUAUGUACCUUAUGAAUAAGGAUCGGCUAACUCCGUGCCAGCAGCCGCGGUAAUACGGAGGAUCCGAGCGUUAUCCGGAUUUAUUGGGUUUAAAGGGUGCGUAGGCGGCCUUUUAAGUCAGCGGUGAAAGUCUGUGGCUCAACCAUAGAAUUGCCGUUGAAACUGGGGGGCUUGAGUAUGUUUGAGGCAGGCGGAAUGCGUGGUGUAGCGGUGAAAUGCUUAGAUAUCACGCAGAACCCCGAUUGCGAAGGCAGCCUGCCAAGCCAUGACUGACGCUGAUGCACGAAAGCGUGGGGAUCAAACAGGAUUAGAUACCCUGGUAGUCCACGCAGUAAACGAUGAUCACUAGCUGUUUGCGAUACAGUGUAAGCGGCACAGCGAAAGCGUUAAGUGAUCCACCUGGGGAGUACGCCGGCAACGGUGAAACUCAAAGGAAUUGACGGGGGCCCGCACAAGCGGAGGAACAUGUGGUUUAAUUCGAUGAUACGCGAGGAACCUUACCCGGGUUUGAACGCAUUCGGACCGAGGUGGAAACACCUUUUCUAGCAAUAGCCGUUUGCGAGGUGCUGCAUGGUUGUCGUCAGCUCGUGCCGUGAGGUGUCGGCUUAAGUGCCAUAACGAGCGCAACCCUUGCCACUAGUUACUAACAGGUGAUGCUGAGGACUCUGGUGGGACUGCCAGCGUAAGCUGCGAGGAAGGCGGGGAUGACGUCAAAUCAGCACGGCCCUUACAUCCGGGGCGACACACGUGUUACAAUGGCGUGGACAAAGGGAGGCCACCUGGCGACAGGGAGCGAAUCCCCAAACCACGUCUCAGUUCGGAUCGGAGUCUGCAACCCGACUCCGCGAAGCUGGAUUCGCUAGUAAUCGCGCAUCAGCCAUGGCGCGGUGAAUACGUUCCCGGGCCU